rnacentral:rRNA from 1 species
UACGAAGGGUGCAAGCGUUACUCGGAAUUACUGGGCGUAAAGGGCGCGUAGGCGGCCUUCUAAGUCGAACGUGAAAUCCCCGGGCUCAACCCGGGAACUGCGUCCGAUACUGGAAGGCUUGAAUCCGGGAGAGGGAUGUGGAAUUCCAGGUGUAGCGGUGAAAUGCGUAGAUAUCUGGAGGAACACCGGUGGCGAAGGCGACAUCCUGGACCGGUAUUGACGCUGAGGCGCGAAAGCCAGGGGAGCAAACGGG